rnacentral:rRNA from 1 species
GACGAACGCUGGCGGCGUGCUUAACACAUGCAAGUCGAGCGGUAAGGCCCCUUUUGGGGGGUACACGAGCGGCGAACGGGUGAGUAACACGUGGGUGACCUGCCUUUAGCUCUGGGAUAAGCCUGGGAAACUGGGUCUAAUACCGGAUAUGACUCCGCGGUGCAUGCUGUGGGGUGGAAAGCCUUGUGCGGCUGGAGAUGGGCCCGCGGCCUAUCAGCUUGUUGGUGGGGUGANGGCCUACCAAGGCGACGACGGGUAGCCGGCCUGAGAGGGCGACCGGCCACACUGGGACUGAGACACGGCCCAGACUCCUACGGGAGGCAGCAGUGGGGAAUCUUGCGCAAUGGGCGAAAGCCUGACGCAGCGACGCCGCGUGAGGGAUGACGGCCU